ensembl:snRNA RNVU1-19 RNA, variant U1 small nuclear 19
AUACUUACCUGGCAGGGGAGAUACUAUUAUCAAACGAAGGUGGUUUUUCUCAGGGCGAGGGUUAUCCAUUGUGUUCCGGAUGUGCUGACCUCUGCGAUUUCCCCAAACGUGGGAAACUCGACUGCAUAAUUUGUGGUAGUGGGGGACUGCGUUCGCGCUUUCCUCUG